UCGUUAAGGUUAUCAGUUUCAGAUGUUUUUCCUACUAUGACAAGUCAAAAUGUCUGCUGUGAAAAAGCUCCAUUAGCAGUGAAGCUAGAGCAGGG